GGUUGUGUAGUGUAAUGGUUAUCACCCCAGAUUCUGAUGAGACGCGCCGACCGGUGCAAUCAGGUCUUCUGGUGAUCCAGGUUCGAUCCCUGGCACGACCU